UGUGAAACAAGAUACAGGCUAGCGGCGGACGGGUGAGUAACACGUGGGUAACCUGCCCAAGAGAUCGGGAUAACACCUGGAAACAGAUGCUAAUACCGGAUAACAACAGAUGAUGCCUAUCAACUGUUUAAAAGAUGGUUCUGCUAUCACUCUUGGAUGGACCUGCGGUGCAUUAGCUAGUUGGUAGGGUAACGGCCUACCAAGGCGAUGAUGCAUAGCCGAGUUGAGAGACUGAUCGGCCACAUUGGGACUGAGACACGGCCCAAACUCCUACGGGAGGCAGCAGUAGGGAAUCUUCCACAAUGGACGCAAGUCUGAUGGAGCAACGCCGCGUGAGUGAAGAAGGGUUUCGGCUCGUAAAGCUCUGUUGUUGGUGAAGAAGGACAGGGGUAGUAACUGACCUUUGUUUGACGGUAAUCAAUUAGAAAGUCACGGCUAACUACGUGCCAGCAGCCGCGGUAAUACGUAGGUGGCAAGCGUUGUCCGGAUUUAUUGGGCGUAAAGCGAGUGCAGGCGGCUCGAUAAGUCUGAUGUGAAAGCCUUCGGCUCAACCGGAGAAUUGCAUCAGAAACUGUCGAGCUUGAGUACAGAAGAGGAGAGUGGAACUCCAUGUGUAGCGGUGAAAUGCGUACAUAUAUGAAAGAACACCGGUGGCGAAGGCGGCUCUCUGGUCUGUUACU
rnacentral:rRNA from 1 species